AAUCUAGUGAAUCAGUACUUAUUAUCGUAUAAACUGAGCUAUCUAUAUAAGAUUGGUCAAUCAAACAAUACCAGAAUUGAAAAAAAAUUAAGGAAAAUUGUUAUAAGCUCAAGUGCAUAAUGAACUCUAUUAUAAAGCCCAAUCAGCGCCCUUACUCUGUUACUUCCAAUAGCGGCAGCGAUAGCGAUCACAACGUUUUUGUAUGCAACCUCGAUAUAGUUCUCACAAUAUCCAUAGCGCUUAUGUCGCAACCACGACACAAAAACUUAUUAUUGUGAUCGGAAUAAAAUACCGAUACUGAUUGUAUCGGUAUUUUAAUUAAUUAAAAAAAAAAUUGUUUGCUAUCGUUUUACUGGAAGGGAGCUGAACACAUCAUUGGGAAUAACUGCAGCUGUAUCAUCAGAUUCAGAAAAAACUGUUCGCGUCACACAAAAAGGUAU